UCUAAGUUGGCUCAGUCAGUAGGGCGUGAGACUCUUAAUCUCAGGAUUGUGGGAUCGAGCCCCACAUUGGAUGAAAGAU